GACGAACGCCGGCGGCGUGCUUAACACAUGCAAGUCGAACGGAAAGGCCCUGCUUUUGUGGGGUGCUCGAGUGGCGAACGGGUGAGUAACACGUGAGUAACCUGCCCUUGACUUUGGGAUAACUUCAGGAAACUGGGGCUAAUACCGGAUAGGAGCUCCUGCUGCAUGGGGGGGGUUGGAAAGUUUCGGCGGUUGGGGAUGGACUCGCGGCUUAUCAGCUUGUUGGUGGGGUAGUGGCUUACCAAGGCUUUGACGGGUAGCCGGCCUGAGAGGGUGACCGGCCACAUUGGGACUGAGAUACGGAGCAGACUCCUACGGGAGGCAGCAGUCGGGAAUAUUGCCCAGUGGGCGGAAGCCUGAUGCAGCAACGCCGCGUGCGGGAUGACGGCCUUCGGGUUGUAAACCGCUUUCGGCUGUGACGAAGCGUGAGUGACGGUACUGGGUAAAGAAGCACCGGCUAACUACGUG
rnacentral:rRNA from 1 species